AGGAGCACAACUCAGGGGAGGAGUGAUUGCCUAGCAUGCACAUGACCCUAGGUUCAAUUCCUAGUGCUGCCA
rnacentral:tRNA from 1 species